UACAGAGGUCCCAAGCGUUGUUCGGAAUUACUGGGCGUAAAGGGUUCGUAGGUGGCCCGCUAAGUCAGACGUGAAAUCCCCGGGCUCAACCCGGGAACUGCGUCCGAGACUGGCAGGCUCGAAUCCGGGAGAGGGAUGUGGAAUUCCAGGUGUAGCGGUGAAAUGCGUAGAUAUCUGGAGGAACACCGGUGGCGAAGGCGGCAUCCUGGACCGGUAUUGACGCUGAGGCGCGAAAGCCAGGGGAGCAAACGGG
rnacentral:rRNA from 1 species